rnacentral:rRNA from 1 species
UACGAAGGGGGCUAGCGUUGCUCGGAAUCACUGGGCGUAAAGGGUGCGUAGGCGGGUCUUUAAGUCAGGGGUGAAAUCCUGGAGCUCAACUCCAGAACUGCCUUUGAUACUGAGGAUCUUGAGUUCGGGAGAGGUGAGUGGAACUGCGAGUGUGGAGGUGAAAUGCGUAGAUAUCGGGAGGAACACCAGUGGCGAAGGCGGCUGCCUGGCCUGUUCUUGACGCUGAGGCGCGAAAGCUAGGGUAGCAAACGGG